AUCCAGCUGAUGAGUCUCAGAUAGGACGAAAGGAUCGUCCUGGAU
rnacentral:hammerhead_ribozyme from 1 species